rnacentral:rRNA from 1 species
UACGGGGGGGAGCAAGCGUUGUUCGGAUUUACUGGGCGUAAAGGGCGCGUAGGCGGCCACCGCAAGUCGGUUGUGAAAUCUCCGGGCUUAACCCGGAAAGGUCAACCGAUACUGCGGGGCUAGAGUGCAGAAGGGGCAACUGGAAUUCUCGGUGUAGCGGUGAAAUGCGUAGAUAUCGUAAGGAAGACCAGUGGCGAAGGCGGAUCUCUGGACAGUUACUGACACUGAGGCACGAAGGCCAGGGG